rnacentral:lncRNA from 1 species
AUUUUUCCAUUUCGAUUGCUUGUUUGUUAUAAAAAUUUCUUUGAUCAUUUUAUUUAUAUUUCGUGCUCUCUGAUCUGCAAAAACAUACAAUAGAUAGAUAAAUGGCAGAAAAGACAGAAACACACAUCCCAAUUGGUACCUUUUAAAAUGAAUGGUAACAAUUAUUAGAUAUAAUUAAGUACUGUUAAACUUUGCUAAGUACUGUUUUAUAAUCAAACUUUUAAAUACUAAUUAAACAGGUUAUUAAGUAAGCUGAUAAAUUGAUAAUAUAUUAUGUUGUCAAUGGAUUAAUUGUCCAGGCCAAGAAAGGAAAUUAAAAUAUAACUAAAGCUUUCAAGGACUUAGUUGUAUUAAUAAACAUUUCUAGAUGUAAUAUAAAUAUUUCAAACACUAUAAACACUUUGUGUAAAUUUUACAUUUUAAAUCAAUCAAAUUAAAAUACAUUUUAUAUUGUUUUCAAAAGUUAUUUUUUGUUUCAAUUUCUUCCCCAAAUCCCUCUCCUUUGGUAAUUCUCGGCCGUUCGCCGUGGACAUUGGAUGAAAAUCGUUCUAUAACAAUUUCAAUCUAUGGAGCAAACAGUUCACCAUUGUUGUUACCUCCACAAAGUUCAAAUCUCAUCAUUGUUGUGAUCUUUUUCGUCCUUCUCACUCCGUUUCCGACUGAAGUGAAGGACUGUUAGAAAUAUAUGACUACGAUGUAUUAUUAUCAAAUGUGAUUAUCCAAGUGAUGAGAUAUUUAUAUAUGAUGACAAUAUGCUUUAUUGAAAGUAAAUGACAAUACAGAUUUGUGAAGAUUGAACGAUUGCAGGAAUGAGAUGCUGGAGAUGAUGAAGACGAUUAAUGGAUCGGAUGAAUGAUCUCCAGAUGAAGAACAAGCUUGACUAGAUGAUUUGAAUUCCAGAUGACCGAUUGCAGAUUCCAGAGAACAGAUUGAAGAAGAUUGAGAUGGUGAUUUGGGACCAAGAACUUGAAUCCAAAACAUAGAGAUUGAGUUGUAAUGGUUCAUAUUUAUGGAGGUAAGGACCCAACGGCUAUGAGGGUUUAGGUGGGUUUGGUUGGUGUGAUUAAUUAUGGUAAUAAAUUGGAUUAGGAAAUGUGUAUAUUAGGGAGUAAUGUAUUAGGAAAUUAGGUGUAUAUUGGAAAUGAUGUUGUUAGCUAUUAAGUGGUAGGGUAUAUAUGUUUUACAGGGACUUGGAGGAUAAUUUCCAUAAUAAUUCUAAUAAGGGCAAGCAAGAGCAGGCUGAUAUCAUAAUGCCUCUUCUCACCUUGCAGACAAAACUGGGCGGAAGAAAAACUCGUGGAAUAGAUCAACAGUGUCGUGUUCUUCGAUCCUCGACACCUUCCUUCCUGAUCUGAUCCGAUCUUCUCACUCUCCUGAUUUUCUUUUCUAUCUCUUCCCAGCAAUCCUUUCCCCUCUUUCUCUUAAUCAGAGGUGCAUAUGCACAGCAUUUAGCAAGGUACUUAAUAGCCUAAAAUGGGUGGAUUUUAGAUUGUAAUUGUUUGAUAGAUUUCCAUCAAUGAUUAUUUGUUAUCAUCUUGGAUUCCUUACAAAGUUUAUUUCCAUAUACUGGAGCAAACUCAUCUUAUGGUUUGGUAAAAGAUAUAAUGUCCAUUAGGUCCAUUAUACUUUGUUCUUUCUAUCUACCACAAAUAUACAAUAAUGUCUCCUAGAUCUUCAAAAUUUAAUCUUAUUUAUCAAAAUAUACAAUAAGUAUAUUUGAAUUUAUUUCAAUGUUUAAAGUUUAAACACUGAUAAAAAUAUAGGAAGCAUUCCAGUGAGACAGUUGGGAUGUGAGAUAUUUCAGGCGACUGAUCACUCAUCUUAUGGCCUAAAAUCACAUAGCCCAAAUCUCGAAGAUCAGCAGAUAAUCAAUCACAUGGGUCGAAGUAGAUGGCUCAGAUCUACUAUCUCAUAGAUAUCUCACCUCAAUUACACUCACUGGAAUCUUGCCCUAAAAAUAUAAGGAAAACAAUAAUAUCUUAAUAUAAUCAUUAUAUGGUCUCUAUGUGCCUUAUGUUUAGUUAUGUAUGAUAAAUUUGCAGUCAAGUAAAGAUUAUUUUUUCUUCUGUAUUUUGUGUUUUCAGAUCGAUGAUAGUUUUUUUUAGUUCAUUGGAGAGAAUAUCUGCUCCUGAUUGGGAAAAAAUUGUACACAUUGGUGCAGGAUCUGAGCACUUUGCUUUAGUAACAAACAGGUGAUCAUUCACGUGAAGUAAAAUUUCACCCCAUUGUUAUAUGUUUGCUGAUUAUCUGAUUUCUGUGACUCUCAUUUUUCAACAAUAGAGAGUGGAGUGAUAAUGACUUGGGGUUUCUGUGAUUUCUGGCGAAUAUGGACAGCUUGGAUUGGGCAACAUUAAUGAUCAAACUAUACCACAAGUUGUCAGCCUAAACCAGAUGAAAACUUGUGCUGUUAAAGUCCACUGUUGUAGUGGAUUCACAUUUGCUCUUAAAAGACAUUGAAUUGACACAGCAAGAAAAUGUAUACUGUAGUUCUUUUUUUUUGUUAAGGGUACUUUUGGUAUUAAAUAAAAUAGAGUUUUUAAGCAGUUUAAUUUUAACACAUUUAAAACACAACGCUAAUUACCUUAUUGCCCGGUGGUUAGCUUCUGCCAACCUCCGACAUCGACCUUGUCAUGGAUGAGCAUGGCGAGGGCAUACCAUUGGAGCAAUGCCCUCACCUCCUUGUCAUUCCUGCACUUCUUCUUGUACCUUGAGUCAUCAAAUCCAAUUCCGGCCAUAUCGAUACUGCAUUUCACCACCUGUUGCUUUGUCUCAGUCAACGCUUUCAUUCUUCUUCAGUUCCUUUCCUUCCAGAGGAAGAAGAAGACGAUACCCAUCAUGGUCCACUGCAGCCUCCACGCUGGGGAUCCGACUGUGUUGAUAUCGUGCGCAGCAUCGUCGAGGGAUGUCCAGUCCUCUGUCUUUGCCAUUGCUCCAGCAGCUUCCAUCGCCUCCCUGUGAACCCAUUGCGAGAAUUCGCAGCCAAAGAACAGGUGAUUAAUUAAAUU